rnacentral:rRNA from 1 species
UUGGUGGGUAAUGGCUUCCCAAGCGACGACGGUAGCCGCCUGAGAAGGUGACCGGCCACACUGGGACUGAGACACGGCCCAGACUCCUACGGGAGGCAGCAGUGGGAAUAUUGCACAAUGGGCGGAAGCCUGAUGCAGCGACGCCGCGUGAGGGAUGACGGCCUUCGGGUUGUAAACCUCUUUCAGCACGGAAGAAGCGAGAGUGACGGUACGUGCAGAAGAAGCGCCGGCUAACUACGUGCCAGCAGCCGCGGUAAUACGUAGGGCGCAAGCGUUGUCCGGAAUUAUUGGGCGUAAAGAGCUCGUAGGCGGUUUGUCGCGUCUGCUGUGAAAGCCCGGGGCUUAACCCCGGGUGUGCAGUGGGUACGGGCAGACUUGAGUGCAGUAGGGGAGACUGGAAUUCCUGGUGUAGCGGUGAAAUGCGCAGAUAUCAGGAAGAACACCGAUGGCGAAGGCAGGUCUCUGGGCUGUUACUGACGCUGAGGAGCGAAAGCAUGGGGAGCGAACAGGAUUAGAUACCCUGGUAGUCCAUGCCGUAAACGUUGGGCACUAGGUGUGGGGGACAUUCCACGUUUUCCGCGCCGUAGCUAACGCAUUAAGUGCCCCGCCUGGGGAGUACGGCCGCAAGGCUAAAACUCAAAGGAAUUGACGGGGGCCCGCACAAGCGGCGGAGCAUGCGGAUUAAUUCGAUGCAACGCGAAGAACCUUACCAAGGCUUGACAUACACCGGACCGGUUCAGAGAUGUUCCUUCCCCCUUGUGGGGCUGGUGUACAGGUGGUGCAUGGUUGUCGUCAGCUCGUGUCGUGAGAUGUUGGGUUAAGUCCCGCAACGAGCGCAACCCUCGUUCUAUGUUGCCAGCACGUGAUGGUGGGGACUCAUAGGAGACUGCCGGGGUCAACUCGGAGGAAGGUGGGGAUGACGUCAAAUCAUCAUGCCCCUUAUGUCUUGGGCUUCACGCAUGCUACAAUGGCCGGUACAAUGGGUUGCGAUGCCGUGAGGUGGAGCUAAUCCCAAAAAGCCGGUCUCAGUUCGGAUCGUGGUCUGCAACUCGACCACGUGAAGUCGGAGUCGCUAGUAAUCGCAGAUCAGCAACGCUGCGGUGAAUACGUUCCCGGGCCUUGUACACACCGCCCGUCAAGUCACGAAAGUUGGUAACACCCGAAGCCGGUGGCCUAACCCUUGUGGAGGGAGCCGUCGAAGG